UAUAGUUUUUAAGAAAUAAAAUUAAAAAAAUCAUGUAAUACUACAUCAGUGUUAUGUUAUUGUAUGACUUCAUCUUUUAUACAGUCGGGUUCGGGGUUUCGGGCAGCCAUAGCGAAUUUCGGCAAGAUUUUACCCCAGUGAAAAAGGCUUGUAAUCCACAGUGAUCAGCUAAGAUGUUGUUUCACUGGAUUAUUUAAUUGGGCAUAUAAUUGGACAAUUCUGGAUCAGUUGAUAUGUAAUCAAUCACUGGAUUAUUUAAUGCAUAGGCUAAUUGGGCAUAUAGUUGAAAAUCUCUGGUAAGUUUGUCUUGUUUUUUUAAUUGUUUAUACAUUUCCUAUGAUGGUCAUCUUUGCAUUUAAGCAUGAUUAUAUGGUUAAAUUUAUUACUGUAUAAUACUUAUGUGAUCUGAUAUCUCUAACUUACAUUCAUAUAAACACACCCUUAUUUAACCUAAAAUAUAUUAACCCAUGAUUAAGGGAUCUUCAGAAUAUUAAUAAGUCCUUUUGUAUAAAUUAUAUGAUAUAAUUUCAUAAUUCAUUAUGUAUGUUACCCAUGGCCAUGGAAUUCAGACUUACUAAAUGGUGAUCAAAGAGAUAUUAAUUAGGAAUCUAAUAAGAGAAA